rnacentral:rRNA from 1 species
GACGUUUAGCUGCAGAAGAAGCACCGGCUAACUCCGUGCCAGCAGCCGCGGUAAUACGGAGGGUGCGAGCGUUUAAUCGGAAUUACUGGGCGUAAAGCGCAUGCAGGUGGUUUGUUAAGUCAGAUGUGAAAGCCCGGGGCUCAACCUCGGAAUUGCAUUUGAAACUGGCAAACUAGAGUACUGUAGAGGGGGUAGAAUUUCAGGUGUAGCGGUGAAAUGCGUAGAGAUCUGAAGGAAUACCGGUGGCGAAGGCGGCCCCCUGGACAGAUACUGACACUCAGAUGCGAAAGCGUGGGGAGCAAACAGGAUUAGAUACCCUGGUAG